rnacentral:lncRNA from 1 species
GGUUUCCCUUUCCUUGCUGCCGGCCCCCCAGUUCCCCCCGGCCGCUCCCCGGGGGUGCGGAGCCCCGGGCCGGGCAGCCCCAGCCGGCACACGCGGCCGUGUCGCCUCCUCAAGCCGACGUGUGUGUGGAGGGAAAUCGAUGCAGAUAAUGUUUAGAAGAUUAAAAGAGCAUUAAUGCUGGCAACGGGAACAUAAACGCGUGGACCCAGUUCUCAUUGAUCUGGAACCUGAUCCGGCCGGUUUCCAGUAAUGCUGCCGGUGCUCGGCCUUCCCAGCACCCCGCUCCCCCCGGCCCCCCCGCCUGUCUCCGUGCCGCUGCCCCGGGGCGCCGCGGCGGCGGGGGGGCGGCCAGCGGGGCUUCCCCGGGCGGCCGGCUUGGGAUUUAGGCCGGCCCGGUUUUAGGAGGGCCGCUGGCACGCUCCCGCGGGCUCAACCCGGUUUCGCUGCGGGCUGGGUCACCCUGCGGGGGCGCGGGGCCGAGCCCCGGGUUUGUGCCGUCGGGCCCCCGGGGCCUUGCAGCCCCAGGGCAGCGGCUCCGGCCACGGCUGUGCCGGGAGAUUGGGGAACCAUCGCACCGGGACCCGGCGGGGAGGCAGAACCGGAGAGAGCCUGCCCCCGCAGCACCCUCGGGUCCCCCGGGCCGGGGCAGACGGCGCCGCCGCCGGGCCGAGGAGAAGCCCUUCCUCCCGUGCGGGGCCGGGGAAGCCUCCCGCAUCGAUCCCAUCGAUCCGCUCUCCCCUCCACGGAAGCCGCGCGGUUGGAGCCCCGCUCCAAGGGUUUGCUCGCCGCGCCUGCACCGCUCCGGUGGCACCGGGCAAAGAGCCGGGGAGGGGCCGCCAGGGCGCCGGGGCCGAGGAGCGGGCAGCAGGGGACGGCGGGGCCCCCCCGGCCCCUCCUGGGCCCCCCGGCCCCGGCCUUGUCGCCGCAGCGCCCGCCCACGCGGAAACGUCCCCGCGGGCUCGGUGUUUGCUGCGGCCGGAGGGCAGCGCCCGCAGAGCGUUAGCGAUCUGGGUGCGUCAGGGCGCUUAUCGGCACGGGCUCGGAGGGCAGAGUUCAGCGGCGGUUCAGGGCAGCUGCACCCGGAGCCCCGGCCUCCCGCCCGCCCUGCUGCGAGGUGCCGAGCCCCUUAUCGCCAGCCCAAGCCCUGGGUACACAGGGCAGGAAUGCGGCUCCAGGUGCUCCCGUGCCGCGCUCCUCCGCGGGUUUCCGAGCUCCCGCGGCUCCGGAGGGCCGGGCACGGGCCCCCCGUGGCCGCUUUCUCCCCGAGACUCCCGCUCGCGUUUCCUGCCUGCUGGAUCACCUUAUUGCCGACCGCACAUUUGGGUACCCAAACACCAGCAAUGAUUCAGAGCAGGCGCGCUCAGCGGCCUCCGCUCCUUCCCCACCGGGCGACCCCGGGCCGCCGGGGCCAGCGCCGCUUCCACCCGCCCGAGCGCGGCUGCGGGGCCGUGCGGGGCUGUGUGGGGCCGUGUGGGGCCGUGUGGGGCUCUGGGGGGCUCAGCGGGGCCGUGCGGGGCCGUGCGGGGCGCGCCGUGUCCCGGCGCCCCCGGUGCCGGAGCGGAGCCGCCGCUGCCAUCAGCACCACGGAGAGCGGCACGGGGCGGGGGGGCACCGGGGGAGCGGGGAGGGGCAGAGGG